rnacentral:rRNA from 1 species
GAGUUUGAUCUUGGCUCAGGGUGAACGCUGGCGGCGUGCUUAAGACAUGCAAGUCGAACGGUCCCUUCGGGGAUAGUGGCGCACGGGUGAGUAACGCGUAACUGACCUACCCCAAGUCGCGGAUAACGAUUCGAAAGAAUCGCUAAUACGUGAUGUGCUGUCAGAUUGUGUUCUGCCAGUAAAGAUUUAUUGCUUUGGGAUGGGGUUGCGUUCCAUCAGCUAGUUGGUGGGGUAAAGGCCUACCAAGGCGACGACGGAUAGCCGGCCUGAGAGGGUGGCCGGCCACAGGGGGCACUGAGACACGGGUCCCACUCCUACGGGAGGCAGCAGUUAGGAAUCUUCCACAAUGGGCGAAAGCCUGAUGGAGCGACGCCGCGUGAGGGAUGAAGGUCUUCGGAUUGUAAACCUCUGAAUCAGGGACGAAAGACGCGUAAGCGGGAUGACGGUACCUGAGUAAUAGCACCGGCUAACUCCGUGCCAGCCGCCGCCGUAAC